rnacentral:rRNA from 1 species
AUUGAACGCUGGCGGCAGGCUUAACACAUGCAAGUCGAGCGAGUGGAGGACGUGAGAGUAAUGAUUGGGAAUCUAGCUUAUGGAGGGGGAUAACUACGGGAAACUGUAGCUAAUACCCCGUACCAUAGGAUGAGCCGAAGUGGGAUUAGGUAGUUGGUGAGGUAAAGGCUCACCAAGCCGACGAUCUCUAGCUGGUCUGAGAGGAUGACCAGCCACACUGGGACUGAGACACGGCCAAGACUCCUACGGGAGGCAGCAGUGGGGAAUAUUGCGCAAUGGGGGCAACCUGACGCAGCCAUGCCGCGUGAAUGAAGAAGGCCUUCGGGUUGUAAAGUUCUUUAGGUAGCGAGGCGUUAACAACAGAAGAAGCACCGGCUAACUCCGUGCCAGCAGCCGCGGUAAUUC